UACAAGAUAACGUAGUUACCUCGUUCCUUCCCCAAAGAGUUCCCCACGUCUGGUAAGUAACCACAACUACCUACGAAAUAAUUCGAGUGAUGACCACGAGUUGAGGAACGAUGGUGACCAUAUCUACCGUCGUUGUUAUAUAUGGUUGACCUAAACCGUAACAAUCUGUUCUCCUGUGUGGAUCAACCACAACCAAAAUAUGUUGUUGAAGUUUAAACGGACCCCCCUCUUCACCCUGUCAAACCUGGUAUAUGAUAUUACAGUCUAUCUGUUUUUCGACACGAGUUUGGGACAAAAAGAAGAUAAGGGGAGUGGUUUCGGAAGGAGACCAGAAGGGUUGUUUCCGAUGACGGCAGCGACGACGACCACCGAUGGGGGCGGCACUGGGCACUCCAACGACGACAGGGGCUGCGGAGAGGAGAGGCACCAGCAACGGCCCGUCACGACCGACGACCCGCAGCAACAACGAUCGCCACAACCAUGAAGACCAAGUCCUAGGAAAUUGGGUGUUCAACACGGAGCGCCAACUCCAUUUGGGACUCCUGCCGUACGUACCCUCAGAACCCUCAUCGUAGUGGUGGGACAAGUGAUGUGCUUUGAGUGUAUAUAACAUGAAAUCCUGGUACAAAACUCUUGGAUCAUAUCAAAUAUGAAACGAUUCGAACCACCAAACAGGACUUCAAACCUUCAACGGGAAAAGCAAACGCACAGAAUGAAUCGAGAAGGAUUCAGAAUACAAUAGCGACCACAAGAGCCAAUACCAUCACAUCGAACCACGAGAUGUGAAUACAAUACAAGGAACACAAUAUAUUAAUAUACUUAACGUACAGCACCUACAGGAAUCUUUAUCUCCUUUGAGACGGCUUUAAAGGAAGCUCCCGUACAAGUGAAAGGGUUUCAACAAACACCAUUAACACCAUUAUAAGGUUCGCAAAACAACCGAACCCCACAAUGUUAUGCAGAGAUUGCAUAAAUAUUAAAUACUUUAUAAGUACGCUACAAACAUUGUUAAGAUAUACCAAAACCAUACUAAACUAAUAUUGAUUGGGCCUGACUGCAACAAAGUCAUCUCGAUAGCACCACAACAAAAAACACGUCUUUAUUUUCAAGAGCCUUACCCGACUUUAAAAUGCCACAAAAAAAUACCUGGUUUUCUCUGAGAACUUCGUGACCUCGAUCUGGUCCUCCACUGACUCCUCCGGUGUUCGAUCCGCCGCGUGGGAUGGGGGUCCCGCGCGGGACUCCCGAACACCCACAACCUUUAUACGGGAUCUCCGUUAUUAUUUAACGAAUAAUAGUAUAAAGGGACAAGUACUAUUAGCAAAUAAUAGGUACAAUAUUAACAUAACCAGCCUUUGAGUUUAUGUACACACCUAUGUAUCUGUUGUUGUACAGAGAUCACCUUUCUACCGAUACCAAAAGAUCGUUAUCUGUACUCAACAGUAAACUAUUGCCCUAGUGUAGUAACCCUCUUACUACACUACCUGUUCUGGAUUUGAUAUUUGCAU
rnacentral:rRNA from 1 species